AGUAUACAUAUUAUACGAACUUUCUUAAAUGAUAUGAUAUUUAUGAUUAUGAUUUGAGUUAAUGUUAUGCUUGAAACUAAUUGACUUGCCGAGUUUUGUUGAUAAUGACUUGUGUGUUACCCUCUACUGUUGAGACGAAUUCGGUUCUGCCACAAGCGAGAUUUUGUGCACAGAGGUGACUGUGAGCCGUCGAUCGGGUCGGCCGGUCACGGUACUUGAGAGGGAGGCCUACUUCUUAGUACCUUUGAUGAUGAAUAGUAUAUGGAUAAACGAGGAGGAGGAAGAUCGGUCUGGUGCUGGCGGGGACUUAUUUUGGACGACGUUGUUUCUUUUACCGUAUUUCUACUUCAUACGGUAGCCUUUUAUGGUUGGAUGUUUAUAUUUUGAACUUAAUCAGGAAAUACACUCUCGGCUAUAUGUCUUCAUACAUAUAGUUUGAUCACGUUUUGCUGCGAGACUCUGUAAAUUAUAAACCUUUGUAAAUUUUUAACUAUGUCCGCUUUGUAAACUUUGUCGAGAAUCCCUGUACUUUUGAACUUAUGAAGCCGAUAAUAUUUGAGUCUUUGAGAUGA